rnacentral:rRNA from 1 species
AUACGGAGGGUGCGAGCGUUGUUCGGAAUUAUUGGGCGUAAAGCGCGUGUAGGCGGUUUGUUAAGUCUGAUGUGAAAGCCCCGGGCUCAACCUGGGAAGUGCAUUGGAUACUGGCAGACUUGAAUACGGGAGAGGCGAGUGGAAUAUCUGGUGUAGCAGUGAAAUGCGUAGAUAUCAGAUAGAACACCAAUGGCGAAGGCAGCUCGCUGGCUCAAUACUGACGCUAAAGCACGAAAGUGUGGGUAGC